AUUGAACGCUGGCGGCAUGCCUUACACAUGCAAGUCGAACGGCAGCACGGGGGCAACCCUGGUGGCGAGUGGCGAACGGGUGAGUAAUGCAUCGGAACGUACCUGGAAGUGGGGGAUAACGUAGCGAAAGUUACGCUAAUACCGCAUAUUCUGUGAGCAGGAAAGCAGGGGACCGCAAGGCCUUGCGCUUUCGGAGCGGCCGAUGUCGGAUUAGCUAGUUGGCGGGGUAAAGGCCCACCAAGGCGACGAUCCGUAGCGGGUCUGAGAGGAUGAUCCGCCACACUGGGACUGAGACACGGCCCAGACUCCUACGGGAGGCAGCAGUGGGGAAUUUUGGACAAUGGGCGCAAGCCUGAUCCAGCCAUGCCGCGUGAGUGAAGAAGGCCUUCGGGUUGUAAAGCUCUUUCGGCGGGGAAGAAAUUGCACAGGCUAAUACCUUGUGUAGAUGACGGUACCCGCAUAAGAAGCACCGGCUAACUACGUGCCAGCCGCCGCCGUAAUAC
rnacentral:rRNA from 1 species